rnacentral:lncRNA from 1 species
UAAUCGAGUUGACAUUGUGAAAUGUUCGCUGUGGAGAUAUUAAAAUCUUCAGUGGAAGCAAUGGAAGAAAGCAAAUCAGUUGAAAGUGAACUACCAUCAACAAGAAAAUCGGGACGUUUAUCUCAAUACGGACGAGAAAGACGCAUACGGAGUAAAUUGUAUCUAAGCUUCUUUAAUUUUGAGAGGAGGCAAUAAUCACAAAGUUCUUCAUCCCAGAAUUUGUAAAACUAAUCCGCAAAGUUAAAAAAAGGAUUUUACGUGAACAAUUACUACCAUGGCUAGUCUCCUACAGCAUUUAGUCAACAAUUACACUGAAGUUUUGCAAAACCUUAAAGAUGUCUCUAAUAAGUGAGCUCUUGAACCGAUAACAACCGGUAGUUCGAUACGGUCGUCAAGGAUAAUAAACAAUAAUAAACGCUCGCGUUGUGCGCGCCAAGUGACAUAGCCCAAGUAAAACGUAAAAUAACCUAA